UUGGAGGGCAAGUCUGGUGCCAGCAGCCGCGGUAAUUCCAGCUCCAAUAGCGUAUAUUAAAGUUGUUGCAGUUAAAAAGCUCGUAGUUGAAUUUCGGGAUUAGUACGCUGGUCAUGCCUUCGGUACGUACUGGUGUUACUGAUUUCUACCUUCUGACGAACCAUCAUGUCAUUAAUUUGGUGUGGUGGGGAAUCAGGACUGUUACUUUGAAAAAAUUAGAGUGUUUAAAGCAGGCUCGCGCUUGAAUACAUUAGCAUGGAAUAAUGAAAUAGGACGUUGAUCCUAUUUUGUUGGUUUCUAGGAUUGACGUAAUGAUUAAUAGGGAUAGUUGGGGGCAUUAGUAUUCAAUUGUCAGAGGUGAAAUUCUUGGAUUUAUUGAAGACUAACUACUGCGAAAGCAUUUGCCAAGGAUGUUUUCAUUAAUCAAGAACGAAAGUUAGGGGAUCGAAGACGAUCAGAUACCGUCGUAGUCUUAACCAUAAACUAUGCCGACUAGGGAUCGGAUGAUGUUAUUUUUAAUGACUCAUUCGGCGCCUUACGAGAAAC
rnacentral:rRNA from 1 species